GACGAACGCUGGCGGCGUGCUUAAUACAUGCAAGUUGAGCGCUGAAGGUUGGUACUUGUACCAACUGGAUGAGCAGCGAACGGGUGAGUAACGCGUGGGGAAUCUGCCUUUGAGCGGGGGACAACAUUUGGAAACGAAUGCUAAUACCGCAUAAAAACUUUAAACACAAGUUUUAAGUUUGAAAGAUGCAAUUACAUCACUCAAAGAUGAUCCCGCGUUGUAUUAGCUAGUUGGUGAGGUAAAGGCUCACCAAGGCGAUGAUACAUAGCCGACCUGAGAGGGUGAUCGGCCACAUUGGGGCUGAGACACGGCCCAAACUCCUACGGGAGGCAGCAGUAGGGAAUCUUCGGCAAUGGACGAAAGUCUGACCGAGCAACGCCGCGUGAGUGAAGAAGGUUUUCGGAUCGUAAAACUCUGUUGGUAGAGAAGAACGUUGGUGAGCGUGGAAAGCUCAUCAAGUGACGGUAACUACCCAGAAAGGGACGGCUAACUACGUG
rnacentral:rRNA from 1 species